rnacentral:ncRNA from 1 species
ACGACACUCCGGAGAAUCCCGGCGGGAAGAUAACCGCUCGGGUGCCGAAGGUGCAAGCGUGCCGGUUUUUAUGGCGCGUAAAUCUCUCAGGCAAAAGGACGGAGUUU